rnacentral:rRNA from 1 species
AACAUCUAAGUACCUGAAGGAAGAGAAAGCAAAUGCGAUUCCCCAAGUAGCGGCGAGCGAAACGGGAUCAGCCCAAACCAGAAGGCUUGCCUUCUGGGGUUGUAGGACACUCUAUACGGAGUUACAAAGGAACGGAUUAAGCGAAGCGACCUGGAACGGUCCGCAAGAUAGGGUAAUAGCCCCGUAGCUGAAAGUUCGUUCCCUCCAGAGUGGAUCCUGAGUACGGCGGAACACGAGAAAUUCCGUCGGAAUCCGGGAGGACCAUCUCCCAAGGCUAAAUACUCCCUAGUGACCGAUAGUGAACCAGUACCGUGAGGGAAAGGUGAAAAGCACCCCGGAAGGGGAGUGAAAUAGAUCCUGAAACCGUGUGCCUACAAGUAGUUAGAGCCCGUUAAUGGGUGAUAGCGUGCCUUUUGUAGAAUGAACCGGCGAGUUACGAUUGCAUGCAAGGUUAAGGUGAGAAGCCGGAGCCGCAGCGAAAGCGAGUCUGAAUAGGGCGAGUGAGUAUGUAGUUGUAGACCCGAAACCAGGUGAUCUACCCAUGUCCAGGGUGAAGGUAAGGUAACACUUACUGGAGGCCCGAACCCACGCACGUUGAAAAGUGCGGGGAUGAGGUGUGGGUAGCGGAGAAAUUCCAAUCGAACCUGGAGAUAGCUGGUUCUCUCCGAAAUAGCUUUAGGGCUAGCCUCAAGAUAGAGAAUCCUGGAGGUAGAGCACUGUUUGGACUAGGGGCCCAUCCCGGGUUACCGAAUUCAGACAAACUCCGAAUGCCAGUGAUUUAUGCUUGGGAGU